GAUGAACGCUGGCGGCGUGCCUAAUACAUGCAAGUCGAGCGAACAGACGAGGAGCUUGCUCCUCUGACGUUAGCGGCGGACGGGUGAGUAACACGUGGAUAACCUACCUAUAAGACUGGGAUAACUUCGGGAAACCGGAGCUAAUACCGGAUAACAUGUUGAACCGCAUGGUUCAACAGUGAAAGACGGUCUUGCUGUCACUUAUAGAUGGAUCCGCGCCGCAUUAGCUAGUUGGUAAGGUAACGGCUUACCAAGGCAACGAUGCGUAGCCGACCUGAGAGGGUGAUCGGCCACACUGGAACUGAGACACGGUCCAGACUCCUACGGGAGGCAGCAGUAGGGAAUCUUCCGCAAUGGGCGAAGGCCUGACGGAGCAACGCCGCGUGAGUGAAGAAGGUCUUCGGAUCGUAAAACUCUGUUAUUAGGGAAGAACAAAUGUGUAAGUAACUAUGCACGUCUUGACGGUACCUAAUCAGAAAGCCACGGCUAACUACGUG
rnacentral:rRNA from 1 species